CUUUUAAUUGAAAAUUUCUUGAAGAGUAGUGGUGUGUUUGAAAGAAAAGCCCUAAAAUGUGUACUCUAAUGCAAGGCCAUGUGGUCAUGCAUUUUAAAACAAAGAAAAGCUAAAAUAUCAAUCUUAUGCAACUGCAAUUAAUGGAUUAAAAAAUGUGAGAAAACACGUGGCGAGCGGUGAAAAGAGAGUGGGACAGCCGGCAUUGCACGCGAUGCUAUGCCAGACAAGAGCCGCCAUUUUUCUUAAAGCAUUUUGGCAAAAUGUGAUCGAGAAUAAUGUGACGAUUUCGUGAAAGUUCUUCCAUGGCAAUUGAUUUAUCACGAGAUACAGAUCAUCCAUCAGAUACAUGGAAAAUAAUGUAAUGGAUCAAUCGUAACAUAAGAUUCCAAAAGAGACAUCAUGCUGAAAUAAGCUGAAUUCAUUUGUGAAAAGCAAUUAAGACCUGUGCCGCUUUGUUUUUCUCGAGGGACUUAUGGUCAAGAUCGUCCUAAGAUGAAAUGAUCUAGACCCAGAUGCUCAAUGAAGAUCAUUGGAGAACCGAACAUACUUAAGAUAGUAUGUCUUAUAUCACAAAAAAAACUGGACAUUCUUCAGAACUAUAAAGGUUUCCUUUUGAAAUAUCGAUCAAAACUAUAAUUGAUGGAUGGAAUCAUAACUUCUUAAAUGAAAAGACUUCUUUACGCACAAAGGCAACUGAUCGAGUAUGUUGGUAGUAACUUACGUCUUUUUGAAAAGGUUUAUCUACAAUAUUAUCUACAAAAACAAACUGAAUAUAUUAUUCUAUAAUACAAAUGCAAAUAAAUGACUAUUGAAAUCAAAUACA